rnacentral:rRNA from 1 species
CCUACGGGAGGCAGCAGUAGGGAAUCUUCCACAAUGGACGAAAGUCUGAUGGAGCAACGCCGCGUGAGUGAAGAAGGGAUUCGGCUCGUAAAGCUCUGUUGGUAGUGAAGAAAGAUAGAGGUAGUAACUGGCCUUUAUUUGACGGUAAUUACUUAGAAAGUCACGGCUAACUACGUGCCAGCAGCCGCGGUAAUACGUAGGUGGCAAGCGUUGUCCGGAUUUAUUGGGCGUAAAGCGAGUGCAGGCGGUUCAAUAAGUCUGAUGUGAAAGCCUUCGGCUCAACCGGAGAAUUGCAUCAGAAACUGUUGAACUUGAGUGCAGAAGAGGAGAGUGGAACUCCAUGUGUAGCGGGGGAAUGCGUAGAUAUAUGGAAGAACACCAGUGGCGAAGGCGGCUCUCUGGUCUGCAACUGACGCUGAGGCUCGAAAGCAUGGGUAGCGAACAGGAUUAGAUACCCUAGUAGUC